AUUGUUUCCCCGCCUUUUGGCUAAGAUCAAGUGUAGUAUCUGUUCUUAUCAGUUUAAUAUAUGAUACGUCCUCUAUCCGAGGACAAUAUAUUAAAUGGAUUUUUGGAGCAGGGAGAUGGAAUUGGAGCUUGCUCUGUGAACUUUAAAAAAAAAAAAGAUUUUAUAUGCAUU
rnacentral:snRNA from 1 species